rfam:Picea glauca, whole genome shotgun sequence.
AAUUGUGACGAAAAAUUGAUGUUUUCAAAACAUUGGUGUAGGCAGCUUAUAAGACAAUAGAAAAAGUGAAUUGGCUGCCAACACAUCCCUUUUGUCGGCGACAUGCUCCUGGCCUUAAUUGGUUGGGUCGCGGUUCUGGCAUUGUUACUUUGAAAAAAUUAGAUUGAUCAAAGAAAUCUUAUGAUCUGAAUACAUUAGCAUGGAAUAACGUGAUAAGAGUCUGGUCCUAUUGUGUCGGCCUUCGGGACCAGAGUAAUGAUUAAUAUGGACUGUCGAGGGCAUUCGUAUUUCAUUGUCAGGGGUGAAAUUCUUGGAUUUAUGAAAGAAGAACCACUACGAAAUCAUUUUCCAAGGAUGUUUUCAUUAAUCAAGAACGGAAGUUGGGGGCUUGAAGACGAUCAAAUACCAUACUAGUCUCAACCAUAAACGAUGUCGACCAGGGAUCGACGGAUGUUGCUCUAAGGACUCUGCCAACACCUUCUAAGAAAUCACAGUGUUAGGGUUUUGGGGGGUGUAUGGUCGCAAGGAUGAAACUACAAGGUCAUAUUAAAAAAUAUCUUGGUCUCCCAACAUUA